CGAAAGCCUGACGGAGCAAUACCGCGUGAGGGAGGAAGGCCCUUGGGUUGUAAACCUCUUUUCUCGGGGAAGAACAAAAUGACGGUACCUGAGGAAUCAGCAUCGGCUAACUCCGUGCCAGCAGCCGCGGUAAUACGGAGGAUGCAAGCGUUAUCCGGAAUGAUUGGGCGUAAAGCGUCCGCAGGUGGCAUUGAAAGUCUGCUGUCAAAGAGUCUGGCUCAACCAGAUAAAGGCAGUGGAAACUACAAAGCUAGAGUACGUUCGGGGCAGAGGGAAUUCCUGGUGUAGCGGUGAAAUGCGUAGAGAUCAGGAAGAACACCGGUGGCGAAAGCGCUCUGCUAGGCCGUAACUGACACUGAGGGACGAAAGCUAGGGGAGCGAAUGGGAUUAGAUACCCCAGUAGUCCUAGCCGUAAACGAUGGAUACUAGGUGUUGCUUGUAUCGACCCGAGCAGUACCGUAGCUAACGCGUUAAGUAUCCCGCCUGGGGAGUACGCAGGCAACUGUGAAACUCAAAGGAAUUGACGGGGGCCCGCACAAGCGGUGGAGUAUGUGGUUUAAUUCGAUGCAACGCGAAGAACCUUACCAGGGCUUGACAUGUCGCGAAUCCUUGUGAAAGCAGGGAGUGCCUUCGGGAGCGCGAACACAGGUGGUGCAUGGCUGUCGUCAGCUCGUGUCGUGAGAUGUUGGGUUAAGUCCCGCAACGAGCGCAACCCUCGUUUUUAGUUGCCAUCAUUAAGUUGGGCACUCUAGAGAGACUGCCGGUGACAAACCGGAGGAAGGUGGGGAUGACGUCAAGUCAGCAUGCCCCUUACGUCCUGGGCUACACACGUACUACAAUGCUACGAACAGAGGGCAGCUAACCAGCGAUGGCAAGCUAAUCCCGGAAAUCGUAGCUCAGUUCAGAUCGCAGGCUGCAACUCGCCUGCGUGAAGUUGGAAUCGCUAGUAAUUGCAGGUCAGCAUACUGCAGUGAAUUCGUUCCCGGGCCUUGUACACACCGCCCGUCACACCAUGGAAGCUGGUAGUGCCCGAAGUCAUUACCCCAACCUUUCGGGGAGGGGGAUGCCUAAGGCAGGACUGGUGACUGGGGUGAA
rnacentral:rRNA from 1 species